UUCCUGCUCUACUGCCCUGAGGAUGACUGAUGUACCUCCAGCAUCAAGCUCAAAUUCUAGUCAAGAAGAAAGAAGCAGCAGAAGAAGCCCAGCCAACUUGGGAUUGUUUCAUUCAUCAGAUCUACCAUUGUCUCUGCUAGCUGCAAAAAAGUCUGGGAAGGAAGAAGCAAAGAAGUCUAAGUUCUUUGGAGUAAGAUGCUCUCAAAUGCCUAGGAACACUGAUCUCCUAACUUGUCUUCCUGCUUUGAGUGUCCCUCUGAGGUUAAAGUUCCUGCCUCAGUCUCCAACAAUGGUAAGUACAAAAUCAAUGUUAGUUCCUGACCGCUCCCCCUCUCUGUGUAUUGGUCAAUCACUGUCUGAUCAUACUGUACUGAAAUUAAUUCUUGGAAUGUCUGUCUUCCCCUAGACUAUAAGCCUCUCUGGGCAAGAUCCACGUCUUACUCAUUUUUGUGUCUGCAGUUUAGUUCCUGGUUCAUUGUAGGUUCUCAAUAAACGUUUGUUAGAAUGAGUUGAUCUCUUGGAUCCAG
rnacentral:lncRNA from 10 species